rnacentral:rRNA from 1 species
AUUGAACGCUGGCGGCAUGCCUUACACAUGCAAGUCGAACGGCAGCGGACCUUCGGGUGCCGGCGAGUGGCGAACGGGUGAGUAAUAUAUCGGAACGUACCUUUCAGUGGGGGAUAACGUAGCGAAAGUUACGCUAAUACCGCAUAUUCUGUGAGCAGGAAAGCAGGGGAUCGCAAGACCUUGCGCUGAUUGAGCGGCCGAUAUCAGAUUAGCUAGUUGGUGAGGUAAAGGCUCACCAAGGCGACGAUCUGUAGCGGGUCUGAGAGGAUGAUCCGCCACACUGGAACUGAGACACGGUCCAGACUCCUACGGGAGGCAGCAGUGGGGGAAUUUUGGACAAUGGGCGCAAGCCUGAUCCAGCCAUGCCGCGUGAGUGAAGAA